CGGGAAUUUUGGGCAAUGGGCGAAAGCCUGACCCAGCAACGCCGCGUGAGGGAUGAAGUAUUUCGGUAUGUAAACCUCGAAAGAAUGGGAAGAAUAAAUGACGGUACCAUUUAUAAGCUCCGGCUAACUACGUGCCAGCAGCCGCGGUAAUACGUAGGGAGCAAGCGUUGUUCGGAUUUCCUGGGCGUAAAGGGCGCGUAGGCGGCGCGGUAAGUCACUUGUGAAAUCUCUGAGCUUAACUCAGAACGGCCAAGUGAUACUGCUGUGCUAGAGUGCGGAAGAGGCAACCGGAAUUCUUGGGGUAGCGGUGAAAUGCGUAGAUAUCAAGAGAAACACCUGAGGCGAAGGCGGGUUGCUAGGCCGACACUGACGCUGAUGCGCGAAAGCCAGGGGAGCAAACG
rnacentral:rRNA from 1 species